GGGGAUAUAGCUCAGUUGGUAGAGUGCUUGCCUUGCAUGCACGAGGUCCUGGAUUCAACCUCCAGAACCACA
rnacentral:tRNA from 1 species